rnacentral:misc_RNA from 1 species
UCCUUUAGGCUUUUCUAUGUAGAUUUGAGUAAAAAAAUUAAAUGGAGUGCAAAUUUAGUUGAAUGAAAUCGCUUUGAUCUCUGUUUCUCCUGUAAUUUUGUUCCCGUUUUUGAAGUUAGCAAAAACCAUGUCCAGUUGAAUAAGCACACACAGUUCUCCAAAUUAAAUAUCACAAGUUAAAAUUUGGGGCUAAAUUCUGAAAGACUCCAUCGGUUCUUCAAGCUAACUCUUUGCUGAUGGCGGUCGCAUUUCAAUCAUUUGAAUUGACGUUUUGAGCUCUAAUUGAAUGGCAGACCUUGAAGGGGCUAAGAUGACCUCUUUCCAAGCUGAGCCGGAUUCGUAGAUUGGGCUUGGGUCAGAGUAAAGCUCGUAGAUAGAUUCUGCAUCAGAGUUUAAAUUGCUCACAUUUGUCAAGCAUUUGAUUUCUUCUGGAUCAAUUAGCAGCUUGUUAUCUCCAUCUUUCCUCGCAAUCAGCCUAGGUGGUCCUCCUACUGCAUUGGUGGAGUAUAGCCUGGCACUGUCAACAAGUUGGCAAUAUCUUCGAAAUGCAGCUGCAAAUCUCUGGUGAGACUUCAACUGUGAGCCAACUCUCACAGCUCUUCUAGUAAUUAUAGCUCUCCUGAUGCCUCUAGCAACAGCAAGAUAAGCAUCACAAAUAACACCAACCAUCUCUAUCCUAUAUGAUUUCUUUUCCCGAAUUUCAUCUUCCUCUCUUUCCCAGUAA